GGGAGGUAGUGACAAUAAAUAACAAUACGGGGCUCAUUUGGGUCUCGUAAUUGGAAUGAGUACAAUUUAAAUCUCUUAACGAGGAACAAUUGGAGGGCAAGUCUGGUGCCAGCAGCCGCGGUAAUUCCAGCUCCAAUAGCGUAUAUUAAAGUUGUUGCAGUUAAAAAGCUCGUAGUUGAACUUCGGGAUUCACCCAUUGGUCAGGCUUAAUUGUCUGUACUGGUGAGAUGAGUCUCUACCUUCUGAGGAACUUUCAUGCCAUUUAUUUGGUGUGGUUGGAAAUCAGGACUGUUACUUUGAAAAAUUAGAGUGUUUAAAGCAGGCUAACGUCUGAAUACAUUAGCAUGGAAUAAUGAAAUAGGACGGAUUGAUUCUAUUUCGUUGGUUUCUAGGGUCACCGUAAUGAUUAAUAGGGAUAGUUGGG
rnacentral:rRNA from 1 species